rnacentral:rRNA from 1 species
CAAACGUUGUUCGGAAUUACUGGGCGUAAAGCGCGUGUAGGCGGCCAUCUAAGUCGGGCGUGAAAUCCCACGGCUCAACCGUGGAAGUGCACUCGAAACUGGAUGGCUAGAGUCCUGGAGAGGAAGGUGGAAUGCUUGGUGUAGAGGUGAAAUUCGUAGAUAUCAAGCGGAACACCGGUGGCGAAGGCGGCCUUCUGGACAGUGACUGACGCUGAGACGCGAAAGCGUGGGGAGCAAACAGG